GAGUUUGAUCAUGGCUCAGGAUGAACGCUAGCGGCAGGCUUAAUACAUGCAAGUCGAGGGGCAGCAGCUUUAUAGCAAUAUAGAGGCUGGCGACCGGCAAACGGGUGCGGAACACGUACACAACCUUCCUUGAAUAGGGGGAUAGCCCAUAGAAAUGUGGAUUAAUACCCCGUAAUAUAGCGGUGUGGCAUCACACUGUUAUUAUAGUUUCGGCGAUUCGAGAUGGGUGUGCGGCUGAUUAGGUAGUUGGCGGGGUAAAGGCCCACCAAGCCUUCGAUCAGUAGCUGAUGUGAGAGCAUGAUCAGCCACACGGGCACUGAGACACGGGCCCGACUCCUACGGGAGGCAGCAGUAAGGAAUAUUGGUCAAUGGACGCAAGUCUGAACCAGCCAUGCCGCGUGAAGGAUGAAGGUCCUCUGGAUUGUAAACUUCUUUUAUAGGGGGCGAAAAAAGGUCUUUCUAGAUCACUUGACAGUACCCUAUGAAUAAGCACCGGCUAACUCCGUGCCAGCAGCCGCGGUAAUACGGAGGGUGCAAGCGUUAUCCGGAUUCACUGGGUUUAAAGGGUGCGUAGGCGGGUAGGUAAGUCAGAGGUGAAAUCCUGGAGCUUAACUCCAGAACUGCCUUUGAUACUAUCUAUCUUGAAUAUGGUGGAGGUAAGCGGAAUAUGUCAUGUAGCGGUGAAAUGCAUAGAUAUGACAUAGAACACCUAUUGCGAAGGCAGCUUACUACGCCUAUAUUGACGCUGAGGCACGAAAGCGUGGGGAUCAAACAGGAUUAGAUACCCUGGUAGUCCACGCCCUAAACGAUGAUUACUCGACGUAUGCGAUACACAGUAUGCGUCUGAGCGAAAGCAUUAAGUAAUCCACCUGGGAAGUACGACCGCAAGGUUGAAACUCAAAGGAAUUGGCGGGGUCGCACAGCGGKGGAGCAUGUGUUUAUCGAUGAUACGCGAGACCUUACCUGGGCUAGAUGCAGUCUGACGUGGGUGAAGCYCAUUCGUAGCCAUACGCARAUUGUAAGGKGCUGCAUGCCUGCCGUCAGCUCUGACGKGAGGGUUGUUAAGUCGCMACGARGSACCCUACUAUGCAACAGUAGCUGGAACUYAUGGAAACUGCUCGCKCGUGAAAGCAGACUG
rnacentral:rRNA from 1 species